AGAGGAACUUGACUUUGGAGCCAAGCUUGCGAGCGAUACAGUAGGCUUCAAGAAAAUGGUUCACAAGGCCUUUCAAGACUAUUCUUUGGUAAAAUGCGACGAUAUUAAGAAUGACCUACUCAGUUACAUAGACAUGUUUGACAACAUAGGAAAUUGCCGAAACAUAUUGGGCGUAUUCGAAGAAUCGUUUCGAAUCCUUUGCAACGGAA